rnacentral:rRNA from 1 species
CCUACGGGGGGCUGCAGUGGGGAAUAUUGCACAAUGGGCGCAAGCCUGAUGCAGCCAUGCCGCGUGUGUGAAGAAGGCCUUCGGGUUGUAAAGCACUUUCAGCGGGGAGGAAGGCGGUGAGGUUAAUAACCUCACCGAUUGACGUUACCCGCAGAAGAAGCACCGGCUAACUCCGUGCCAGCAGCCGCGGUAAUACGGAGGGUGCAAGCGUUAAUCGGAAUUACUGGGCGUAAAGCGCACGCAGGCGGUCUGUCAAGUCGGAUGUGAAAUCCCCGGGCUCAACCUGGGAACUGCAUUCGAAACUGGCAGGCUAGAGUCUUGUAGAGGGGGGUAGAAUUCCAGGUGUAGCGGUGAAAUGCGUAGAGAUCUGGAGGAAUACCGGUGGCGAAGGCGGCCCCCUGGACAAAGACUGACGCUCAGGUGCGAAAGCGUGGGGAGCAAACAGGAUUAGAUACCCCGGUAGUC